UUCUGCCCUCCCCGAAGGCGGAGGGUAAUGAGAGGGAGCGCGCAUUCUCUUCCCGCCCGGCCAGAGGUGGGGGCGGGACUUUCCCUGGGACACGCGGGCGUGGGGCGGAGCCAGGUGGUCUACAGGCAGGGAGGACUGGGCAGGGGCCGUCGCAUCCUCUCGCGAGCUUGCUGUGGCUGGGCCUGCGCAGUCUACCACCACUCGCUGACUCCACUUCUCCCGGAAGUGCCCCCUCGUUCCCCUGCCCGGCAAACGGUUCUGGUUUUGUCCUUUGAACCGGGAGUGUUUCUAAAGUAGAACGAGAGGUUUGCAGUGAAACCUGGUUUCUAACUGACUGUGUAUCUGUGACCUUGGGCUCGUUACGUGCCCCGUCUGAGCCUUGUUUUUCUCUGUAAAAGGGGGACGGUAAUUCCAAUCUUCCAGGGUUGUCUUGAGAAUGAAAUGAAGACAGAUUAUAUUUUGAAAGGAAAUAUAUUAACCGGUUCAAAUGAUACACAGUGAAGUCUUCCCGUCUCCUAGUUUCCCUCCCUAGAGCAAAACUGCCUUAUGGCCAAUUGUCAUGCAGUGAAAUGUUUAUGGUGGAAAUGCUUGCAGCAGCGAUGCUCACUGUGAAACUCCCCUGGCGAUGGGCUCAUGGAUGGGCAGGGCCCAGGCUGGGCUGGUCAAAGCACUUCUGGGUGAUGGACACGGUUGUUAGAUGGACUGUGGAGGUCACAUUCAUUUGUUUGUUCUCAGGAUCAUGUAAACCUUAGGCUGCUGGUAGCUAUUUAUGAAAGGUAUAUAUCAGAGUGGGUUUGAAUUUUAGCUCCACCACUUACUGGCUGGGCGAUCCUGGGCAGGCUGCUUAAUCCUUUACAUUUGUCUCAUCAGCAAAAUAGGAAUAAUGGUAUCUGCCUUUAUUGUUAUAGAAAUACUUGAGUUAAUAUAUAUAAAGUGCUCAGAGCAAUGCCUAGUGCAAAGGGAGCGGACAAAAAAUACUUGUUGCUAUUAUUAUUAUCACUAUGUGGGGAGAUUCCAUCUGAGAACUAGUGAGAAAAAGAGAAAGAGCUCUGUAGCAUUGGGCCUCCUAGAUUCAGCCAUGCCUGAAGUUUUCUAUCUCUUGCACUUCCCAGUUCCACAAACCAAUUAACUUCUUCUUUUGUAAAGCAAAUUUGAGUUGACUCUCUGUAAGUUACAACCCAAGGAGCCCUAACACUGGAGGGUAGCGGGAAAACCAGGAGACAGAGUUUGGUAGGCUCUUUCUCAUUCUGCUGUUUAAGUUUGGACAAGGGCUUCUUCUCAAGCUUCAGUUCCUCAUAUG